rnacentral:rRNA from 1 species
AGUGAACGCUGGCGGUAGGCCUAACACAUGCAAGUCGAACGGCAGCACAGGAGAGCUUGCUCUCUGGGUGGCGAGUGGCGGACGGGUGAGGAAUACAUCGGAAUCUACUCUGUCGUGGGGGAUAACGUAGGGAAACUUACGCUAAUACCGCAUACGACCUACGAGUGAAAGCAGGGGACCUUCGGGCCUUGCGCGAUUGAAUGAGCCGAUGUCGGAUUAGCUAGUUGGCGGGGUAAAGGCCCACCAAGGCGACGAUCCGUAGCUGGGCUGAGAGGAUGAUCAGCCGCACUGGAACUGAGACGCGGUCCAGACUCCUACGGGAGGCAGCAGUGGGGAAUAUUGGACAAUGGGCGCAAGCCUGAUCCAGCCAUACCGCGUGGGUGAAGAAGGCCUUCGGGUUGUAAAGCCCUUUUGUUGGGAAAGAAAUCCAGCUGGCUAAUACCCGGUUGGGAUGACGGUACCCAAAGAAUAAGCACCGGCUAACUUCGUGCCAGCAGCCGCAGUAA